AUAUUGGUCAAUGGAGGCAACUCUGAACCAGCCAUGCCGCGUGCAGGAAGACGGCCCUACGGGUUGUAAACUGCUUUUGUACCGGAAUAAACCCCUUUACGUGUAAAGGGCUGAAUGUACGGUAAGAAUAAGGAUCGGCUAACUCCGUGCCAGCAGCCGCGGUAAUACGGAGGAUCCGAGCGUUAUCCGGAUUUAUUGGGUUUAAAGGGUGCGUAGGCGGCCUGUUAAGUCAGGGGUGAAAGACGGUGGCUCAACCAUCGCAGUGCCCUUGAUACUGAUGGGCUUGAUUACAGUUGAGGUAGGCGGAAUGUGACAAGUAGCGGUGAAAUGCAUAGAUAUGUCACAGAACACCAAUUGCGAAGGCAGCUUACUAAAGUGUAAAUGACGCUGAGGCACGAAAGCGUGGGGAUCAAACAGG
rnacentral:rRNA from 1 species